rnacentral:rRNA from 1 species
ACUGCCCGAUGGAGGGGGGAUAACUACUGGAAACGGUAGCUAAUACCGCAUAACGUCGCAAGACCAAAGAGGGGGACCUUCGGGCCUCUUGCCAUCGGAUGUGCCCAGAUGGGAUUAGCUAGUAGGUGGGGUAAAGGCUCACCUAGGCGACGAUCCCUAGCUGGUCUGAGAGGAUGACCAGCCACACUGGAACUGAGACACGGUCCAGACUCCUACGGGAGGCAGCAUG